GACAGAGGGUGCAAACGUUGUUCGGAAUUACUGGGCGUAAAGCGCGUGUAGGCGGCUCGGAAAGUCGGGUGUGAAAGCCCUGGGCUCAACCCAGGAAGUGCAUUCGAAACUUCCGAGCUGGAGUCCCGGAGAGGAUGGCGGAAUUCUCGGUGUAGAGGUGAAAUUCGUAGAUAUCGAGAGGAACACCGGUGGCGAAGGCGGCCAUCUGGACGGUGACUGACGCUGAGACGCGAAAGCUAGGGGAGCAAACGGG
rnacentral:rRNA from 1 species